AAAGGAAUAGACGGGGACCCGCACAAGCGGUGGAUGAUGUGGUUUAAUUCGAUGCAACGCGAAAAACCUUACCUACCCUUGACAUGUCAAGAAUUUUGCAGAGAUGUGAAAGUGCUCGAAAGAGAACUUGAACACAGGUGCUGCAUGGCCGUCGUCAGCUCGUGUCGUGAGAUGUUGGGUUAAGUCCCGCAACGAGCGCAACCCUUGUCAUUAGUUGCUACCGCAAGGAGCACUCUAAUGAGACUGCCGGUGACAAACCGGAGGAAGGUGGGGAUGACGUCAGGUCCUCAUGGCCCUUAUGGGUAGGGCUACACACGUCAUACAAUGGCCGGUACAGAGGGCUGCCAACCCGCGAGGGGGAGCCAAUCCCAGAAAACCGGUCGUAGUCCGGAUCGUAGUCUGCAACUCGACUGCGUGAAGUCGGAAUCGCUAGUAAUCGCGGAUCAGCUUGCCGCGGUGAAUACGUUCCCGGGUCUUGUACACACCGCCCGU
rnacentral:rRNA from 1 species